rnacentral:rRNA from 1 species
AGAGACAGCAGUAGCCGCGGUAAUACGAAGGGGGCUAGCGUUGUUCGGAAUUACUGGGCGUAAAGGGCGCGUAGGCGGCCAUCCAAGUUAGAUGUGAAAGCCCUGGGCUCAACCUAGGAAUUGCAUUUGAUACUGAUUGGCUAGAGUUCGGGAGAGGUGAGUGGAAUUCCCAGUGUAGAGGUGAAAUUCGUAGAUAUUGGGAAGAACACCAGUGGCGAAGGCGGCGACCUGGUCCUUGACUGACGCUGAGGCGCGAAAGCGUGGGGAGCAAACAGGAUUAGAUACCCGUGUAGUCCCUGUCUCUUAUAC